UUUUUUUUUAUUAAUAUUUUUAUUCUGCAAACACAUUAAAUUCAUCAGAAGUGACAGUAAAGACUUUUACAUUGACAUUCAUCAAAGUACCCUGAAAAAUGGAUCACAGUUUCCAGAAAAAUAUUAAUCAGCAAAACUGUUUUUGAUAAGUAUAGGCAUGCAAAUAAGGACAUGCAUGUGUGUUUCUUGCAGGUGUCAGAUGCUCGAGGACAUGCAGAUAAGGCCAAGCUCAAUGCUCAGGAUGUGUUACUGAGAGCCAAUCAGAGCAAAGCACGAGUGGAACAGACCAAUGAGGAGCUCAAGAGACCUCAUUCAGCAAAGACUUCCUCACAAACGAAACUGAUCCAAAGCGUAUAGAGGAAGUAGCUGAUGAGGUGAUGAAACAGUUUGCCAGUGUCAGUGCCUGGUGCACUAAAGAACGUGACCACGGAGAUCCGCCAACAUGUGGCCAGACUGACCCAGACGGCAGAGAAUACUCGCACUGCAGAGAGACUCCUACAAGAAGCACAGGCUGCCAAGUACAAUCAAAAACUGAAGUUCAAACUGAGUAGCAGCACAGGAAAGUUUCUGGAUCUUGAGAGAGAGGUUGACGAACUCCAACAGAAAACUCUAGAAACGUCCAGUAGUGCAGAUCAAACUCCGAGACAAACUGAAAACAUCACAGCAGAAAUCGAGCACACAGAACGGAUCAAAAGGCAGCAGGUGUGUUUAAAGCUCAUCAGAAGGCUGUGCAACUACGCCAGGAGGCAAAAGAUCUAUUAAUAGGUGCCACAAACAAACUACAGAGACUAAGAGAGUUGGAGAGAUCAUUUGUGAUAAAUCAGCACAUUCUGGUGGAGAAAGCUCAGGAGACGGAUGGGCUGGAGAAUGAGGCCAGAGAUGUACUGCAAGAACUCCGUCAGAAAAUCACCAUCUACAGCACCUGCGCUUAACUACUAUGACCAAAAACGAAUUAAUAAUGUUAUAAGCUCAGACUAUAAUCAGAUGUCAACCAUGUAAAUGCAAUUUUGUAUUGUCAAAAAUAAGUUGCUAACUGCCUGACCAAUUCAAGGUAUCCCUUUCAAUAUGCAUAUUUUUGCCUUUUCUAUGAAACUACGAAAAAAGCUCAUUCAGUUUAUUGUGUCCUAAAUAUGAGGAAUCUUGCAGUGUGCAAUAUCAAUAAACAUUCCUCUGGGCGGAAUAAGCCCCUCCAUUGUUGUGAGCAGCAAAUCAGGUUGGAUCUGCUUGUUAAAACUAAGUAUGGUGACAAUGAAAUGCCAAAAUAAAAAUUCCUUUAGAUUAUGUGAUGAAGCAAUAAACCACUGUGGCUUAUUGUUUUGUCUUUUUACUUUCAUAAAACUGUGGAAACAGCAAAAUUAUCAAAACAACUAUAUACGAUGUUUAUUAAAUAUUUAAACACAUAAUAUUGAUAAUACAAUAACCAUUUAUUAAUAAUAAUAAAAAGCUUGAGUCAACUGCACAUGUGACCUGUGCUGGCAAAAUGAGUCACAAUGAGC
rnacentral:lncRNA from 1 species